AACAGUGGAGCCUGCGGUUAAUCGGACUCAACGCUGGGAAACUCACCAGAUAAGACAGCUGAAUGAUAGUCGGGCUGAAGACUCUACUUGACUAGCUGAGAGGAGGUGCAUGGCCGUCGUCAGUUCGUACUGUGAAGCAUCCUGUUAAGUCAGGCAACGAGCGAGACCCACGCCAACAGUUGCCAGCUCGUCCUCCGGGAUGGUGGGGACACUGUUGGGACCGCCUCUGCUAAAGAGGAGGAAGGAAUGGGCAACGGUAGGUCAGCAUGCCCCGAAUUAUCUGGGCUACACGCGGGCUACAAUGGGUGGGACAAUGGGUAUCGACACCGAAAGGUGAAGGCAAUCUCCUAAACCCAUCCGUAGUUCGGAUUGUGGGCUGCAACUCGCCCACAUGAAGCUGGAAUCUGUAGUAAUCGUGUCUCAAAAUGGCACGGUGAAUAUGUCCCUGCUCCUU
rnacentral:rRNA from 1 species